AACGCGAAGAACCUUACCUGGGCUCGAAAUGUAGUGGACUGGGGUAGAAAUAUGGUUUCGGAGCAAUCCGACUUCCAGACAGGUGCUGCAUGGCUGUCGUCAGCUCGUGCCGUGAGGUGUUGGGUUAAGUCCCGCAACGAGCGCAACCCUCGUCGUGUGUUGGUCCGCAAGGAUCUCUCACGCGAGACCGCCGGUGAGAAGCCGGAGGAAGGUGGGGAUGACGUCAAGUCAGCAUGGCCCUUACGUCCCGGGCUACACACGUGCUACAAUGGGUAGGACAACGAGUCGCUAGCUAGUGAUAGUCUGCUAAUCUCUUAAAACCUAUCCUCAGUUCGGAUUGAAGGCUGCAACUCGCCUUCAUGAAGUCGGAAUCGCUAGUAAACGCAGAUCAGCUACGCUGCGUUGAAUACGUUCCCGGGCCUUGUACACACCGCAUAC
rnacentral:rRNA from 1 species